GACGAACGCUGGCGGCGUGCCUAAUACAUGCAAGUUGAGCGCUGAAGGUUGGUACUUGUACCAACUGGAUGAGCAGCGAACGGGUGAGUAACGCGUGGGGAAUCUGCCUUUGAGCGGGGGACAACAUUUGGAAACGAAUGCUAAUACCGCAUAAAAACUUUAAACACAAGUUUUAAGUUUGAAAGAUGCAAUUGCAUCACUCAAAGAUGAUCCCGCGUUGUAUUAGCUAGUUGGUGAGGUAAAGGCUCACCAAGGCGAUGAUACAUAGCCGUCCUGAGAGGGUGAUCGGCCGCAUUGGGACUGAGACACGGCCCAAACUCCUACGGGAGGCAGCAGUAGGGAAUCUUCGGCAAUGGACGAAAGUCUGACCGAGCAACGCCGCGUGAGUGAAGAAGGGUUUCGGAUCGUAAAACUCUGUUGGUAGAGAAGAACGUUGGUGAGAGUGGAAAGCUCAUCAAGUGACGGUAACUACCCAGAAAGGGACGGCUAACUACGUG
rnacentral:rRNA from 1 species